rnacentral:rRNA from 1 species
AUGGCAUGCUCAUCUUCAACAACGCCGACCUGCUGCACUUCCUCGUCACCAUCCUCAAGAAACGGAGAUCCUACUCCUCUCGAACGCCUGCUGUUGCGAUCUCCCUCUCCAACGCCCGCUGCUGAUCUUCUCCAACUCCGACGACCAUCGCUGCAACAUCUCCUCGACAUCAACAAUGGGGCGUCGAGCUCCUGGUGGUGCUCUGCUCCAGGUGGUUGGCUGACCUUCCGCCAAGGCCACCACGGUUCUUCCCCAAGGCCGGGUCCUUCGCUGUCUAUCUUCGUCCCUGCUGCUCUUCUUCGAUUGCAACAUCUACGACCUCGAAUUGAAGAUCAUCACGACCCAUAG